rnacentral:rRNA from 1 species
UACGUAGGGUGCAAGCGUUAUCCGGAAUUAUUGGGCGUAAAGAGCUCGUAGGCGGUUUGUCGCGUCUGCUGUGAAAACCCGAGGCUCAACCUCGGGCCUGCAGUGGGUACGGGCAGACUAGAGUGCGGUAGGGGAGAUUGGAAUUCUCGGUGUAGCGGUGAAAUGCGUAGAUAUCGAGAGGAACACCUGCGGCGAAGGCGGGUUGCUGGGCUGACACUGACGCUGACAGCGCGAAAGCUAGGGGAGCGAAGCGGG